rnacentral:rRNA from 1 species
GCGCGAAAACUUUACAAUGCUGGCAACAGCGAUAAGGGAACCUCGAGUGCCAGGUUACAAAUCUGGCUGUCGAGAUGCCUAAAAAGCAUUUCAUAGCAAGGGCCGGGCAAGACCGGUGCCAGCCGCCGCGGUAACACCGGCGGCUCGAGUGGUAACCGUUAUUAUUGGGUCUAAAGGGUCUGUAGCCGGCCGGAUAAGUCUCUUGAGAAAUCUGGCAGCUUAACUGUCAGGCUUUCAGGAGAUACUGUCUGGCUCGAGGCCGGGAGAGGUGAGAGGUGCUUCAGGGGUAGGGGUGAAAUCUUGUAAUCCUUGAAGGACCACCAGUGGCGAAGGCGUCUCACCAGAACGGACCUGACGGCAAGGGACGAAGCUAGGGGCACGAACCG